rnacentral:rRNA from 1 species
GGUUGAUCCUGCCAGUAGUCAUAUGCUUGUCUCAAAGAUUAAGCCAUGCAUGUCCAAGUAUAAACCAAUCUAUACGGUGAAACUGCGAAAGGCUCAUUAAAUCAGUUAUAGUUUAUUUGAUAGAGAUUUACUACAAGGAUAACCGUGGUAACCCAGAGCUAAUACAUGCACAGAGGCGCAAGCUUCGUAUUUAUUAGAUAGAACCAACGGCCACGGCCUUCAAGGUGAUUCACAAUAACUAAGCAGAUCGCAAGGCGCAUGCCGGCGACAGAUCAAUUAAAUGCCUGCCCUAU